GUUGAUUCCAUGACGUGGCGAAGUAGCAGAUGUAGAAAGGUGGUGAAAAGGGAAUUCCUUAUUUUGAGGUAUGAACGCAGGGUCCAAUUACAGUGGGAAUGGGUAAAAAGUGACCAUGUUUUUUAUCCAAAUGUGAGAAGGUAUACAACAGAAGUUUUAAAUAACAUAAGAGGUGAUAAGGAGAUAUUUACUCUGAUGGGAAGAAAAUGGGCGGUGUUUAAUAAAAAAAAAUAGUAGAGAUUGGUUCUUGACAUUUAAAGUAUUUGUCCACGAAUCAUACCAGGCCUUUGUUGAAAGUCACCUAUGAAUGGCAGGGUUUUAAAUUGGGAACGCCUAAAGAGUGGAUUUCCUAUGGACAACCCUAUUUGGACAAUGUAUGGAGGGCAGCGUGAAAGGCGUUCGUAAAGAUGGGCCUUUUUGAACAAUGUUGCUACCGCGGCUUUUGGUAUGCUGUCAAUCGCUAUAUGUGGUGUUUGGAAAUGGUCACAGAAUUCUUUAGUUGGACUAAGAAUGUGAAUCUGUGUAUGUGUGUUUGUUUGAGUGGUAUGUUUUUUUAGCUAGAAAAAAUAAUUAUGUGCUUAGGGUUUUAGGGGUUU